GCGUUGUUCGGAUUUACUGGGCGUAAAGGGCGCGUAGGCGGUCAGCACAAGUCAGUUGUGAAAUCUCCGAGCUUAACUCGGAAAGGUCAACUGAUACUGUGCGACUAGAGUGCAGAAGGGGCAACUGGAAUUCUCGGUGUAGCGGUGAAAUGCGUAGAUAUCGAGAGGAACACCUGCGGCGAAGGCGGGUUGCUGAGCUGACACUGACGCUGAGGCGCGAAAGCUAGGGGAGCGAACGGGAUUAGAUACCCCGGUAGUCCUAGCCUUAAACGAUGAAUGCUUGGUGUCUGGGGUUAUAAAGUCCCCGGGUGCCGUCGCUAACGCUUUAAGCAUUCCGCCUGGGGAGUACGGUCGCAAGACUGAAACUCAAAGGAAUUGACG
rnacentral:rRNA from 1 species